AAGACUAUAGACCUGCGGAGUACCUGCGGAAGGAUCAUUAACGUAUCUAUGAUGGGGUGCGGAGCGCCCUGCUCCGGUCGAACGGCCGUGCAGCGAGUGCGCCGCCCCCGUCCCACCUCACAAACCCACUGUGAACAUUCACCGGUGGAGGGGGCUCGGUCUGCGCCGUGUCCCCGAUGCCGAAUACCCAAACUCCAGUUGCAAAGAACGUCGUGCGGACUCGGUGCCGCCUAAAACAUG
rnacentral:misc_RNA from 1 species